UACGAAGGGGGCUAGCGUUGUUCGGAAUCACUGGGCGUAAAGCGUACGUAGGCGGAUUCCUAAGUCGGUGGUGAAAUCCUGGAGCUCAACUCCAGAACUGCCUCCGAUACUGAGAGUCUUCGAGUCCGGGAGAGGUGAGUGGAACUGCGAGUGUAGAGGUGAAAUUCGUAGAUAUUCGCAAGAACACCAGUGGCGAAGGCGGCUCACUGGCCCGGUACUGACGCUGAGGUGCGAAAGCGUGGGGAGCAAACAGG
rnacentral:rRNA from 1 species